GACGAACGCUGGCGGCGUGCUUAACACAUGCAAGUCGAACGGAAAGGCCCUGCUUUUGUGGGGUGCUCGAGUGGCGAACGGGUGAGUAACACGUGCGUAACCUGCCCUUGACUUUGGGAUAACUUCAGGAAACUGGGGCUAAUACCGGAUAGGAGCUCCUGCUGCAUGGUGGGGGUUGGAAAGUUUCGGCGGUUGGGGAUGGACUCGCGGCUUAUCAGCUUGUUGGUGGGGUAGUGGCUUACCAAGGCUUUGACGGGUAGCCGGCCUGAGAGGGUGACCGGCGACAUUGGGACUGAGAUACGGCCCAGACUCCUACGGGAGGCAGCAGUGGGGAAUAUUGCACAAUGGGCGGAAGCCUGAUGCAGCAACGCCGCGGGCGGGAUGACGGCCUUCGGGUUGUAAACCGCUUUCGCCUGUGACGAAGCGUGAGUGACGGUAAUGGGUAAAGAAGCACCGGCUAACUACGUG
rnacentral:rRNA from 1 species